rnacentral:lncRNA from 1 species
UUUAUUGUUCACAGCAAACCAAAAGUUGAAAUAGUAAGUUGCACAAAGUUGAAAGUGUGGAGGGUGGGAAGGUGGAGAAGCUGGACUGCUGCUGUUCAAUGAUCAAGGAAUUAGAAGCUGUUGCUCUGGAGCAACAGCGUAGGUGGAAUGUUGGUGCCAAGUGGGUUCUUUUUUUCUGUACCUCACUUCCUUUCCUUGCCUGUGGCUUUCAACAAAUAUGGUGGUGGGAUGGUCAAAAUCAUGAUCCUUCUCAAAUUCCAAUUUGAAAUAUUCUUUCAACAGAUGUGUCCUAUAGUGUUUGCUACAGACUGAGUUCUAUAGCCCCAAAAUCAUAUAUUGAAGCCUUAACACCCCGUACCUGAAAAUGUGACCAUUUGGAGAUAAGACCUUUAUAGAAAUAGUUACAUUACAAUGGGAUUAUUAAGGUGGGCCCUAAUCUAAUAUGACUAGUGUUCUUACAAGAAUAGAAAAUGAGAAUAUAGACAACAUAAAGAGGCACCAUGUGAAAACACUGAAAGAAAACAGCUAUUUACAGGUCAAGGAGACAGGCCUCAGAAGAAGCAAUCCUUCGGACAGCUUGAUUUUGGACUUCCAGCCUCUGCUGCCUGGCAGUUUGGCUAUAUUUGUGCAAAGAAAAGUACUAUUCGCUGAUUCAGCGUUGAGUCUUUCAGGAUGCAGAGGCUGUCGGAGAAUCACAGUAACUCGCCAUACAUUUGGAUGCCUCUGACACCGGGUAGACCAUAUGAUAACCUAGUGCUCAGGAAGUAUUCAGGUUUCUUCCUAAAUAAUUAUACUCUUGAAAACUUUAAAAUUAUGUCCCGUGAACAGAAUAGGUAGCUUCAUUUGGGGUCACUGUGUAUCAGUAACUAAAUGUCUUUUUAAUCUUUG